AUAUCCAUUCAUCUUUAUAUUUCUAGUGAUCUUAACUCAAUGCUUUUAUUCAAUAAGCAGUAGUUGAUUGAUAGUCAUUUAAACAUAUGCUGACAGUUUAUUUCCAUUGUUCAUAUUUUGAAAUAUUCUAGCAUAUUAAACAUCCCUGUGAUAUGUCUUAUAGUGAUUGGCAAGCUUUCUUAAUCAAUACAGCCUAUAAUGGACUUAUUAAGAUCAGACUUGGUUGGGUUCCAUUUUGACACAUUUGAGUAAUACCUUUUUUAUCCACUCUGAUUUUAAGGCUUGGCAAUCUUAAUGGCAUUUCUGAUUCACCUUUCUGUAGCUUAAUGCAAUAUCAAAUAGAGGACAUAAUGAGUAGAAAUGUAUUUGAGGGUAUAAAUGAGCCCCUAAAUUAUCACUCCAUUCUAUGACAUUAGGUAGUUAAAAUCUAUUCCAAUUAAACUCUUUUGAGAUAGUAAUUUAUGAUGAAAAGACUGUGAAUGUUCAAAAAUAGUUAAAUGCUCAGAAGCUUUAUUCUAAUAAAAGCAUAUAAGUCUAAAAGAGAUUUCAGAAUAUAUCUACAAGAAGCAAAAUCUGCUUGUGGUAGGACUUAUUAAUAACUAAGUUUGAAAUAAAGUAUUCAUACAUUUAAAAAUAUUGCUAAAUUUACACUAAAAAAUUGAGUCAUCUUUUGAAGAAUAGUUAAUUAACAUAUUCAUGCAAAUUAAUAUGGGUAUGGUUAAGAGAUUUAGCAGAACCUCAAAGAUUUUCAAAAUUUACUUAAUUUUUUUAAUAUACAUUUACAUUUCUUUCUUGUUUCAAAUUUUGCUGCAUAUGUGUUAAGUGUAGCUAGUCAGGAUGGGAAUGUUGUUUCAUGGAAAUAUGAAGAUAAAGAUUAAAUUUUUUAAUUUGUUUUAGAAAACCACCUAGAACUUCAGUUCCCAAAGUGAGUUCCAUGAAGUAUUAAGUUUGUAUAAAUUAUAGUCAAUGUAUAUUUUCAGUGCCUACAAUGUGCUGGGUAGGAACAAAACAAAGUGCCCAUCCUUGUGGAACUCAUGUCCUAUUGAGGGACUCAGAUCUCACACAAAGGAACAGGCAUGCACAUGAUAUAUCAGAUUAUGACAAGUGCUGGGAAGAAGAAUGAGGUAGCCUAAGACAAUGGAGCACAGUGGUAUAAGGGUUUCCAUCCAUACAGGAUAUUCAGGGAAGGCCUCUCAGAUAAGAGGUUAUUUGAGCAGAAUGAGGAAGGCAUGGGAUGUCUAGGGGCUGAGGGAUACUAGAAAAGCAAAAAAGAACAAAUUUAAAACCCAGGAGGUAUUAGUGUCCUUGGAAAAUUGUAGGAAGGUCAAGGACGCCAGAAUGGCCGGAAUGAAGAGAGGAGGAAUAGAAGAUAAAGCCAAAAGCCUUUGGGAGGCUUAUAGACAUGGUAAGGAUUUUGGAUUUUUUUUUUUUUCUGAAUGGGGAAGAUGGUCAUUGGAGGAUUGUAAACAGAAAAGUGAAAAAGUAAUUAGAUAAUUACUAGUCAACAUUGUUGCCUAAUAAUAUUAGCUUUUCAUUAGAUAUAUAUUAAAAUAAAUUAUUGGAUGAAUUGAAUACUUAUUGUAAGCUAUAUACCAAAUUUGAACAUUUCCAUUUCUCUUAGUGAUUGUUUUGCCCUAAUUUUGUGAAUCUCAAUGCACAGUAUAUUUUCUACUAAUGUUUUAUAAAUAUCUUGUACAUUUCAACAUUUCAAGGUAAAAUCUGAAAUGCUGGUCUGGAGAAAUACUUUGAGUAUCUACCAUGAGCCAGGUAUAAGCUUUUGAUAGAAGUAAGAGAUAAUUUUCUUAUGUUUUAUUGAAAUGGGUUUCUUGAAAUGUGAAAAUUUAUAACAGUUUGAAAAAGGAGAUACUAAGUAUAUACAAGUUAUACAGACAACUCCAAGUAUUAAGGGAUUGACAAAGCACUGAGACAGAGAAGAUGUCAAUGGAAAUUCAAUGCCUGAGCUAACUUUUGAAAAGCAAAUAGGAGUUUUAGGGGAGGACAAAUUGGGUGAAUGCAUUGAAAUUGGAAAUAGUCUGUAUAAUGACAUUGAUCUAUGAGUCUGAAGACCUUUAAUUAGCUAGGCAAACAUUUAAUUGUCUUUUUCAUCUAUAAAUAUAAAGCAGUUGGGAAUAAGACACUAAGGAGUGGUGGGCCUGUGGUUGGAAAAACGAGUGGCUACUAAUAGACUGAUAGGCAACAAUUAUGUAAAAUUGGAACCUAGGAGAACAUCAACAUGAGUGUAUUUUGGAGAACCAUACUUUGGUGCCCAAGUAAAGGAUAAAUUAGAAGGAGGAAUAAGGAUAACUGUUAGUUUUCUCUAUUGGGAUAGCUCAGGAUAGCAAACUUAUAAACAUGGUAGUAAGAGCAUAUUGAAAAAAAUUGAUCACUUUAUGGAAGUCUGAUUUACUACGUACUUCUACAUGAGAUAUGAUGAAUACAGGACAAUGUAGGAUAAGUGAAUUUUCUGAUGUGGAGGCCUAGGUGAGUAGUACCAAUGGAAACAAGAAAAGAGCUAUAGGAGGCUGAUCAAAGUUAGGGAGAAUAAACGUAACUCUGGUUAUCUUUUAUCUGCUACCAGAAUGUACAACUUCUAUUUGAGAUCUUCAAAUAUUAAAUUUAGUUUUAUUAAGCAUAUUUGAAACAAGUAUAUUUGAUAUUAUAAACAUUGUAAUAUUUGAGAUUUGUAGCACUGCAAUGGUAUAGAUUAUAAAAUAGACAACUUUACAAAUGCUGAAAUUGAAUACGUUUCAAAAUAUGAUUUUAUACAACAUUACUUAAGAAAGUUUUAUAAUAAUUAAGAUAAUGGAAAGCUGUAGUACAAGAAAUCUACAAGUGUCCUUAGAGAUUAUCUAAGCCAUUAAAUUUGUUUUAUAGCUGAGAAAACAAAGGCACAAAAAUAUUCAGGUGACUUUACAAGAUUAGAGAGGUAGGUGGUAGCAAAAUCAUAUAAUUUAAAUUCUGAGGAAAGAUAGUGAAGUUAGUAAACUUACUAGUAUGUUCUUAAUGUGGAUUUAAAAAAAAAGUAGUGAGUUAUGAUACAUCACAAAAAUUAUGAGCAGAAAUUUCCCACAGAACAUCCUUUUUUAUUCACUAUUUUGAUAAAAUAUCUCCAUUACUUAUGCAGGUCUAAAAACCAAACAUCCCAUUGUUUGGUAUUAUCAGGAUUCAAUGGGCCUAAAAUGUAUCUCUUUUUUAUUUUAUUUUAUUAAUUUAUUUUAUUUUUUGUCUUUUUAGGGCUGCACCUGAGGCAUAUGGAGGUUCCCAGGCUAGGGGUCUAAUCGGAGCUGUUCCUGCUGGCCUACGUAUGCCAGAGCCACAGCAAUGCCAGAUCUGAGCCAUGGCUGCGACCUACACCACAGCUCACCGCAACACUGGAUCCUUAACCCACUGAGUGAGGCCCAGGGGUCAAACCCGCAACCUCGUGGUUCCUAGUCAGAUUUGUUUCCGCUGCACCAUUAUGGGAACUCCUCUUCUGUAUUUAAUUUAGAAAACACAGCACUGCUGACUGCUCUAAAUUGUAAACUUGAUGGUGACAAUGGUGGAUAUUACAGAGAUAAGAUGAAAACUGGCUAUACAAUUUUUAAAAAUUGUAAUAAAUGUCGAUUAUAAGCUUUCUGUGUCAUUCAACUGGACAUUUGCUGAAGUGAAAUGACUUUGCAGUUGAUGAGUAUAAAAUAGACAAUUCUAUUUCUCUUGUCAGUGUGAUGAAUCUACUUCUAAAACAGUCUUUUUUUUUUUCCUUCAUGAUAAACAGUUAAUUCAUAUCCAGUAAGUUUAUGAAGACUAUUCCACAGACUGUCAUCUGGAUUAACCUCUGUUAAUUACCACUGAAAUGUUGGGUUUUCUGCAUAAAUGGUAAAAUAUUCCUUUAGAGAAUAAAUUGAAAAAUGACUUUGGAGCCUCUGCUGCUGCCAAACCUUUCGGUUCCAUGGUGCAACAUUUAGCCUCUUUGUAAUUUAAUUUUCUACUUUGAAAUGUCACUUGCCAAGUAUCAAUUCAACUCCCCUUACUCUACAUCCAAAAAUCCUAUCAUAAAUGUCACCUACAAUAAGAAAUGGAUUACCUGGAUUUGCGAGAGGGAAUUUCUCAGAGGUGAAUUCUGAAUGAUACAAUAUUAUUUUUACUCCAUUAAAAUGUUCACAUGAUUUGCACAAUGAUUCUAUUUCCACAAUGUACAUCUAAAUCCAUGGAUCUCUGUAUUAUUUCGAUGUGGGUUAUAUGUGAUUCAAGUUUAGCCUUCAGGUAAACUGAGAUUCCUAUAUCAACUCUAGUUUAGUUGAAAUUUGGCAUAAAUCAUAUACUAUUUUUGACCACUGGCACAAACUAUUGGACAAAUUAUUGUUUUAUUUUUUCUGUAAAAAUUGAUUGACUUUCUAAAUUUUUCCAGUGCUGUGAUUUCUUUUGGAAAAACACUAAAGUAAGACCUAUUCAGAGGUCAAUUUCUGUUCUUCAAAGAGUGACUUUAAGUUAUUUAAACCCUCAGGGAUUCUGAAAUAGGCUAUUGUAUAAAAUAUUUCAGUGGUGCAAUUUUCCAUCAAUAAAAGGGAUGUACUCAUACUCAC
rnacentral:lncRNA from 1 species